UUGAGCAGCGUCAUCCCACAGUUCACAUCACAGGUUCUGUGAUGUAGGAGGCAAAGGAACUCAACAUGGUCUCAUCUGAUUUCAUCCUGGGUACCUAACACACACUGAAUCACAUCCACCAAUC